rnacentral:rRNA from 1 species
GAUGAACGCUAGCUACAGGCUUAACACAUGCAAGUCGAGGGGAAACGAUAGAGAAAGCUUGCUUUUUCUAGGCGUCGACCGGCGCACGGGUGAGUAACGCGUAUCCAACCUGCCCAUCACUUGGGGAUAACCUUGCGAAAGUAAGACUAAUACCCAAUGACGUCUCUAGAAGACAUCUGAAAGAGAUUAAAGAUUUAUCGGUGAUGGAUGGGGAUGCGUCUGAUUAGCUUGUUGGCGGGGUAACGGCCCACCAAGGCGACGAUCAGUAGGGGUUCUGAGAGGAAGGUCCCCCCACAUUGGAACUGAGACACGGUCCAAACUCCUACGGGAGGCAGCAGUGAGGAAUAUUGGUCAAUGGACGAGAGUCUGAACCAGCCAAGUAGCGUGCAGGAUGACGGCCCUAUGGGUUGUAAACUGCUUUUAUAAGGGAAUAAAGUGGGAGUCGUGACUCUUUUUGCAUGUACCUUAUGAAUAAGGACCGGCUAAUUCCGUGCCAGCAGCCGACGG